CACAGAGGCACUCUGUCAACCCUAUAUUCCAAUCAACCUCACCAAAGGAGCAAAGGACUGAAGACUGACCCAAGAUGCUUUGCUGCCUGAGACAAAGGACAAGAUGGUGCCCCUGCUCCUGGAAGGAAAUGAACCAGCAGGUGAAUUUUACCACAAGUUUGGAAAAGGGGGAUAUUUUUAUACCACAGAUGGAUGAAUCUGUGGAUAUGUAAAACUGACUGUAUCUUGUCUUUGGAAACUAUCCAGGUUAACUUUGUACAAAGAAUUAUAAUAAAGGUAGCCAGGGACCAUGGAGGUUGAUUAUCUACACUUAUAUUUGAUCAUCCACAGCUAGGAUUGGAUACCAGAUAGAAUAGAGUCAUAUACUGCCAUUCCAUCACUAGCAACACCAGUUUGUAUAUAUUGGUGUAAUGACCACAUACAGAUUUUAUGGAAUACUGUUACUUCAUUUUAGUGUUUCAUUUCUGCUCUUUGCAAGUGGUUAUAUAUCCCUCUGAAUUGCCCUAAGAUUAUUUUUCUAAUAAUGUUUUCUUCAUAUUGCUUGAAAUUGUUGACUGGAAAGAAGGAAAGAGAAUGAGAACUCCCAUAGGGGAUGUGAACGAGACUCAGUUGCACAUUUCAAGUGGUAACUUAGACAAUAGCCAAGCUUCAAAUAGCCUCUACUGCUG
rnacentral:lncRNA from 1 species